rnacentral:tRNA from 1 species
GCCCCCUUCGUCUAGUGGCCUAGGACAUCGCCUUCUCAUGGCGAGAACAGGGGUUCGACUCCCCUAGGGGGUAAGG